AAUUAAACCCAGGCCCUCUGCAAUAGCAAUAAAUGUUCUUACCCACUGUGCUCUCUGUCUCUCCAGUCCUUUACUGUAAUUUCAAACUAAGUUUAGAAAAAUAGUAUUUCUUAAGAACAAUUGCUAGCUCUGUAGAUCAUACAUUUGGUUUUCAAAUCAAUUGAUGGCUAAUAAUAUUUUUUUUAAAAAAUACCUUAGCUGGGUAUAGUGCCUCCCGUCUGUAAUUCAGGACUCCAUUAGACCAGUGGUUCUCAACCUUCCUAAUUCUGAGACCCUUAAUACAGUUCCUUAUGUUGUGCUGACCACCCUCCAACCAUAAAACUAUUUUUGUUCCUACUCCAUGACUCUUAAUUUUGCUGCUAUUAUGAAUCAUAAUGUAAAUAUCCUGAUACGCAGGAUAUCUUGCGACCUUGUGAAAAGUUCCUUUGAUUCCCCAGAGGGGUCACAACUCACAGGUUGAGAACUGCAGCCAUAGACUGAGGUAGGAGGAUUGUCGUGAAUUCAUGGCAUAUUCAUGGCUAUAUUGGUUGAAUUCUAGGCUAUUCUAGAAUUCAGAGUAAGAUCUGCUGUCUACAAAACAAAACAAAAACAAAAAACUACCAGAAAUAGAACUUAAUUUCACCACUUGUGAAUAUGAGGGUUCCUUUGAGAUUACUAGAAUUGAAUUUGAUUCAUAUCUACAGUCAACUGACUUUGUAAUAAAUUUGAGGUUGCUUCUGCUGCAUUGAAUUAUUGGCUGAUAAGUCCAUUUGUCAUAUUUACUUUCUCAUGAAUUACAUGACAAGUGUUCUGUGUAAAUCUGUUUUAUAGAAUUUUAUUGUAAUGUUUCUUUUAGGAUGACAGCCUCAAACAAGUUAACUAGUUGCAUUAUUGCUUUUUUCAGUAUUUAGAGGCACAUCUGAAAUUUCUGGCAUUUUUCUUACAAGAAGCUACACUGUAUCUUGGGUGGAACCGAGCCAAAGAAAUUUGGGAGUGCCUUGUGACUGGCCAGGACGUCUGCGAGCUAGAUAGAGAGAUGUGCUUUGAGUGGUUUACAAAGGGGCAGCAUGACCUGGAGAGUGACGUCCAGCAGCAGCUCUUCAAGGAGAAGAUUCUGAAAUUGGAGUCAUAUGAAAUCACUAUGAAUGGUAGGGAAAACUUACAGUUAUUUGCUUUAGAUUUUUUUAGAGUGAGAGAUUUUAUUCUUAACUUUAAUACUACUUCUCAGAGGCAGCUGAACAGUUUGUAAUUCUCCACCUACAUAACUGCGUGGUAUUUUACUGAGAUUUAAAAUAACAGCCUAAUAAAUGAAAUUGCCAAAAUAUCUUUGUAUUCUUUAAUAAAUAGAAUUCAUUAAGUAAAGAUAUAUUAAUGUACACAAUGCUUCCUUUCAGUUACUUCUUUUAGCUGAGUUAUUGAGUUCUGUAAAACUCCAUUUUGUAAAUAUACUGUCAGCAACUUUUAGUCUGCACUCAGGUGUGCAGCCUUGACUACUUUCUAAACAUUAUCACCCCUAAACCCCUAAGAGGAGCCCUGCACUGAUUGGCAGCUAGUUUCCAGCCUUCCCUUGCCCAGCCUAAUCUCUUUUCCUAUGGACUGGCCCAGUUUGGUACAAGUGAAAUCAUAUAUACUACUUGGGGCCUUCCUACCUGGCUUCUCUGAUUGUGGCGGAAGAGUAAUGAGUUCAGAGCACACCCAGGUUGUGGUGUCACUAUAGGAGAAUAAUAUUUCACUGUAGGUGUCCCAUUAUUUUCAUUCAUAGGUCAGUGAACAUUUGUUGCUACCAUUUUGAGCUAUACAUAUUCAUAUAGUAGUUUUUUGUGUUCUCAUUUCUUUUGGUUAUGAAUUUUAGAGUCAUAUUGCCAUGAGAUGUAACCUUUGAGAAUCUGCCAAACUGUUUUUGCAAAGUAGCUGCACCAUUUCCUAAUCCCACCGCAGUGUAUAGGGUGCCAAUUUUCCUCAUUGUCAAGACUUCUUAUUUAUCUGCCUUUUAAAAGGUAUCCUGGAGGGUGCUGAGUUAUGUCCUGUAGUAAUGACUUGUGUUUUCCUGAUAAUGAAUGAUGCUGAACAUCUGUUCAGACUGUUUUUUUGUCCAUGUAAAUAGAUUCUUUGGAGAAAUGUCUAGUUAUGAUUUUGACUUUGUUUUUUUUUUUUUUUAAUUAGACUGUUGUGUUGUACGGGCUCCUUAUAUACUGUGGGUAUUAGCUUCUUAUCAGAUAGAUCGUUUGUAAAAAUUUCCAUUUUUUUAUGUUGUGUCCUUUUCUUGAUAAUGUCCCUUGAAGCACACAAGUCUUACAAAUUCUGAUUAAGUCUGGUUUACAUGUAUUUUCUUCUGUUGUUUGUGGGUAGUGGUUUUGAUUUGUCUGGGUUUUUAGGACAGGAUUUCUUUAUGUAGCCCUGUCUGGUCUGGAACUUACUAUGCAAACCAGUCUAGCUCCAGCCCACAUAGGUCUGCCUCUGCCUCCCAGUUAAGAUUAAAGAUGUAUGGCUUGCUUGUAUUUUUUCAAAGGUGUCUGGGGUUUUUUGAGAUGGGAUUUGGGUGGGCUGCCCAGGCUGGUCUGGAGAUUUUUGGCUCUGGGACUGCAGGCCUGCACUGUCAUACACUGCACACCACACUUUAGAUGCCUGUUUGAGAAGCCAUUUCCAGGAACGCUAUAGCCUUUCCUUCUGCUUCACUUUAGACCUUCCCCGAUUAUCUGUGUCUGAGUGCAUGGGUUUGACUGGCAUUCUAUACUCUUAGGUUUCAACUUAUUUAAGACUUUUUUUGAAAAUGUGAAUCUCUGUGAUCAUCGGUUGAAAAGACAAGGAGCUCAGUUGUAUGUAGAAAAGUUGGAGUUGGUAGGAAUGGAUUUCAUUUGGAAAAUUGCCAUGGAAUCACCUGAUGAAGAAAUUGCUAAUGAAGCUAUUCAAUUAAUCAUAAACUACAGUUACAUUAAUCUAAACCCUAGGUUAAAGAAGGUGAGUCCCCAAGGGAAAAAGUUACUCAGACAUAAAAAUG
rnacentral:lncRNA from 1 species